rnacentral:misc_RNA from 1 species
AAGUCGUAACAAGGUUUCCGUAGGUGAACCUGCGGAAGGAUCAUUAGUGAUUGCCCUUAGUGGCUAAAAACUAUAUCCCAAACACCUGUGAACUGUUGAACCGAAAGGUUCUUUUACAAACAUUGUGUAAUGAACGUCAUAACAUUAUAAACAAUACAACUUUCAACAACGGAUCUCUUGGCUCUC